AGAGUUUGAUCAUGGCUCAGAACGAACGUUGGCGGCAUGGAUUAGGCAUGCAGGUCGCGGGAAUCCCAGCAAUGGGGGAACCGGCGUAAGGGGCAGUAAGGCAUGGGUACCUACCCCGGGGUCCGGGAUAGCCGCCCGAGAGGGCGGGUAAUACUGGAUGACCUCGGGAGAGCAAAGCUCCGGCGCCCCGGGAGGGGCCCAUGUGGUAUUAGCUAGUUGGUGGGGUAACGGCCCACCAAGGCGGAGAUGCCUAGCGGGUGUGAGAGCACGACCCGCGCCACUCGCACUGAGACACUGGCGAGACACCUACGGGUGGCUGCAGUCGAGGAUCUUCGGCAAUGGGCGCAAGCCUGACCGAGCGAUGCCGCGUGUGCGACGAAGGCCUUCGGGUUGUAAAGCACUGUCGAGGGGGAGAAAACCGCAAGGUGGAUCUAUCCCUGGAGGAAGCUCGGGCUAAGUUCGUGCCAGCAGCCGCGGUAAGACGAACCGAGCGAACGUUGUUCGGAAUCACUGGGCUUAAAGGGCGCGUAGGCGGGCUGCCAAGUCUGGGGUGAAAUCCUCCGGCUCAACCGGGGAAGGGCCUCGGAUACUGGCGGCCUCGAGGGGGGUAGGGGCGUGCGGAACUGUGGGUGGAGCGGUGAAAUGCGUUGAUAUCCACAGGAACUCCGGUGGCGAAGGCGGCACGCUGGACCCUCUCUGACGCUGAGGCGCGAAAGCCAGGGGAGCGAACGGGAUUAGAUACCCCGGUAGUCCUGGCCCUAAACGUUGGGGACUAGGUAGUAGCCCGGACAUGGGGUUACUGCCGGAGCAAAAGUGCUAAGUCCCCCGCCUGGGGAGUAUGGUCGCAAGGCUGAACUCAAGGAAUUGACGGGGGCUCACACAAGCGGUGGAGCAUGUGGCUUAAUUCGAGGCUACGCGAAGAACCUUAUCCCGGACUUGACAUGUGCGAAAGCGCUGGGAGGUAGGA
rnacentral:rRNA from 1 species